rnacentral:rRNA from 1 species
AACGAACGCUGGCGGCAUGCCUAACACAUGCAAGUCGAACGAGAUCUUCGGGUCUAGUGGCGCACGGGUGCGUAACGCGUGGGAAUCUGCCCUUUGGUUCGGAAUAACAGUUGGAAACGACUGCUAAUACCGGAUGAUGACGAAAGUCCAAAGAUUUAUCGCCAGAGGAUGAGCCCGCGUAGGAUUAGCUAGUUGGUGUGGUAAAGGCGCACCAAGGCGACGAUCCUUAGCUGGUCUGAGAGGAUGAUCAGCCACACUGGGACUGAGACACGGCCCAGACUCCUACGGGAGGCAGCAGUGGGGAAUAUUGGACAAUGGGCGAAAGCCUGAUCCAGCAAUGCCGCGUGAGUGAUGAAGACCUUAGGGUUGUAAAGCUCUUUUACCCGGGAUGAUAAUGACAGUGCCGGGAGAAUAAGCUCCGGCUAACUCCGUGCCAGCAGCCGCCGUAA